AUAUAUAUAUACGUAUUACCUGAUAAUGAGAAUUUAUCAAAAAACGAUAUAUAUUUUACGAGUUAUCAAACAAAUUCGAAGAAUUGGAUCUGUAUAGAUAUUUAACGAAAUUAAAGAUUAUCUUCGAGUCGUUGCGAUCGACGAGAGUUUUCGAGAAGAAAAUGGUGACCUUCAUUUUUAAGAAAGACGUACUCGGACUUAUCUCUCUAAGUGGAAAAAUUUCAACUGUCUAGUUUUUCGGCUACCUUCCUCGAGAUGUCACAAAAAAGAAAAUAAAAAGAAAAGAAAAAAAAAAAUCUAACGAAGAGGUCUUUGUUUUCUUAUAUUAUUAUUAUUUUUUUUUUCAUCGUGAUCAAAUCAAUAUUCAAGAUCGCGAGUGACAAUGAAACGGACGGUUAAACAAACGCGAAUAGCACUUUGAGAAUGAUACGCGAUUGCACGUUUCUACUUGGCAACUCUUUUUUUUUAAAGAGAGAGAGAGAGAGAGAGAGAGAGAGAGAAGUAGCAAGGGAGCUCCGAUCUAUAAAUAAAAGUCGGAGGUGCUCACGGUUAGCGGAUGAGAGUCUCUAGUUGGUGACUUGGACCCAGUAGUAAACGUGCAAGUUUCGUAACACCUUUGGAACGAGGUAAUCAAAGUGAAUAUACUUUUCGAGCUACGCCCUCUUUCUUCUAGCCAUCGAAUCUUAUUCUUUCUCUCUUUCCCUCGCAAUUUAAAGACAACAGGUUGAGAAUCUUAAUGGAGAAGAUAUAGAAUUGAAAAGAUAUAGAAGGAAGAUAAAUUGAAGAAAUAAAAGUUUAUAAAAGGUAGCAGCUGGUAGAACAACAACAACAGCAACAACAACGUAAUACGGCACACGAUGGUGACGCGUGGUGGAGAGGACGGACUGACUUGCACAACAUAGAACUAUCUUACGUAACGAUCGAGAGUAUCCGUAGUAAGAAAUUUGUAUCGAUACUUGUACAAUACGGUCAAUAAAAAUAUUCUUUACGUCCGGUUCAGUUACAUCGUUCGAGCCUUGGCGAACGUCGUUCGACGAAUUCGCGUAUAUUUUUAUGUAAUGUCGUACGAUUAAUGGUAAGAGUAAGAGAGACGGAAAAAAAAUAGACAGAGAAAAGAGAGAGAGAGAGAGAGAGAGA